UCGGGAACUCUGACACAGGUGCUGCAUGGCCGUCGUCAGCUCGUGUCGUGAGAUGUUGGGUUAAGUCCCGUAACGAGCGCAACCCCUAUCCCUAGUUGCUAGCAGUUCGGCUGAGAACUCUAGGGAGACUGCCGGUGACAAACCGGAGGAAGGUGGGGAUGACGUCAGGUCAUCAUGGCCCUUACGGCCAGGGCUACACACGUGCUACAAUGGUGCGCACAGAGGGCUGCAAACCCGCGAGGGGGAGCCAAUCUCACAAAACGCAUCGUAGUCCGGAUCGCAGUCUGCAACUCGACUGCGUGAAGUCGGAAUCGCUAGUAAUCGUGAAUCAGAAUGUCACGGUGAAUACGUUCCCGGGCCUUGUACACACCGCCCGUCACACCAUGGGAGUGGAUUGCACCAGAAGUGGUUAGUCUAACCUUCGGGAGGACGAUCACCACGGUGUGGUUCAUGACUGGGGUGAAGUCGUAACAAGGUAACCGUA
rnacentral:rRNA from 1 species